UACUACAGGAAGCUGCAGGAUGAAGGAGU
rnacentral:piRNA from 1 species